CCGGCGCCGGGCCCUCCCUCCUGCCCCCCCUUUCUCCUCCCUCUUUCCUUCCCUCCCUUCCUCCCUCUCUCCCUCCCUCCCAGCUCCUGCACCAGGAAACGGCCUGGAUCCCGGCCGCGGCCUGACCCGGCUCCACGCUGGCCUGGCCGGGAGGAUGAAAGGCCCCAGCUGGGGGCUCCUUGCCAUCAGCGCUGGGUCCUAAGAGCUGCCAUCCAGGCUGGCCGCCCGGAUGGCGACCCCGGCCUCGGCCCCAGACACACGGGCUUUGGUGGCAGACUUUGUAGGCUACAAGUUGAGGCAGAAGGGUUAUGUCUGUGGAGCUGGCCCCGGGGAGAGCCCCGCAGCUGACCCACUGCACCAAGCCAUGCGGGCUGCGGGAGAUGAGUUUGAGACCCGCUUCCGGCGCACCUUCUCCGAUCUGGCAGCUCAGCUGCAUGUGACCCCUGGCUCUGCCCAGCAGCGCUUCACCCAGGUCUCUGACGAGCUCUUCCAAGGAGGUCCCAACUGGGGACGCCUUGUGGCCUUCUUUGUCUUUGGGGCCGCGCUGUGUGCUGAGAGUGUCAACAAGGAGAUGGAGCCUCUGGUGGGACAAGUGCAGGAGUGGAUGGUGGCCUACCUGGAGACACGGCUGGCUGACUGGAUCCACAGCAGUGGGGGCUGGGAGCUGGAAGCGAUCAAAGCUCGAGUCAGAGAGAUGGAGGAAGAAGCUGAGAAGCUAAAGGAGCUGCAGAACGAGGUAGAGAAGCAGAUGAAUAUGAGUCCACCUCCAGGCAAUGCUGGCCCAGUGAUCAUGUCUAUUGAAGAGAAGAUGGAGGCUGAUGCUCGUUCCAUUUAUGUUGGCAAUGUGGACUAUGGUGCAACAGCAGAAGAGCUAGAAGCACACUUUCAUGGCUGUGGUUCAGUCAACCGUGUUACUAUACUCUGUGACAAAUUCAGUGGCCAUCCCAAAGGGUUUGCAUAUAUUGAGUUCUCAGACAAAGAGUCAGUGAGGACCUCCCUGGCCUUAGAUGAGUCCCUUUUUAGAGGAAGACAAAUCAAGGUGAUCCCCAAACGAACCAAUAGACCAGGCAUCAGCACAACAGACCGGGGUUUCCCAAGAGCUCGUUACCGUGCCAGGACCACCAACUACAACAAUUCCCGCUCUCGGUUCUACAGUGGUUUCAGCAGCAGGCCCCGGGGUCGUGUCUACAGGGGCCGGGCUAGAGCGACAUCAUGGUAUUCCCCUUACUAAAAAAGUGUGUAUUAGGAGGAGAGAGAGGAAAAAAAGAGGAAAGAAGGAAAAAAAAAAAAAGAAUUAAAAAAAAAAAAAAAAAAAGAAAAACAGAAGAUGACCUUGAUGGAAAAAAAAAUAUUUUUUAAAAAAAGAUAUACUGUGGAAGGGGGGAGAAUCCCUUAACUAACUGCUGAGGAGGGACCUGCUUUGGGGAGUAGGGGAAGGCCCGGGGAGUGGGGCAGAGGGCUGCUCAUUCACUCUGGGGAUUCGCCAUGGACACGUCUCAACUGCGCAAGCUGCUCCCCAUGUUUUCCUGUCCCACUUCACCCCCUUGGGGGCUGCUCAAGGGUAGGUGAGCAUGGGUGGUAGGAGGGUUUUUUUUUUACCCAGGGCUCUGGAAGGACACCAAACUGUUCUGCUUGUUACCUUCCCUUCAUCUUCUCCCUGCCUUUCACAGUCCCCUCCUGCCAGCUUCCUGUCCUGCCAGGUCUACCACCCACCCCACCCCUCUUUGGGCUCCCUGCCCCUCCAGAUUGCCUGGUGAUCUAUUUUGUUUCCUUUUGUGUUUCUUUUUCUGUUUUGAGUGUCUUUCUUUGCAGGUUUCUGUAGCCGGAAGAUCUCCGUUCCGCUCCAGGCGGCUCCAGUAUCCCAGAUGGCUGUUAAUUCUACUUUGUGGAAGUACUGGUGUUAUGGAUGGGAAGUUUCUACUUGUGAAUUAAAGAGUAGGAGUUAAAUUACAGCUAGCAGGAGUAUUAUGUGUUUAGUUGAGGAUGAUGGACUUUCUGGAUAGCAUGUAUCCCUUUGACAUUUGAGAGAUAAAUGAGCCUGGAAAAAUAAAAGACUGGCCAGAGUAGAAUGA